UCCUUGGUGGUCCAGUGGUUAGGACUGGGUGCUUUCACUGCUGAAGGCCCAGAUUCGAUCCCUGGUCGGGGAA
rnacentral:tRNA from 1 species